UUGAGGAGAAACCAAUACGACGAACCAAUACGACGAAGUCGUAAUUUAAGAUGGUUUCGACGACCUGCCAACCAGCGAAGGCGAGGGGGGCGAUACAGAAU
rnacentral:sRNA from 1 species